rnacentral:rRNA from 1 species
UUUACCCUACUGAUGACCGUCGUCCCAAUGGUAAUUCCGCUUAGUACGAGAGGAACCGCGGUUUCAGAUAAUUGGUUUUUGCGGCUGUCCGACCGGGCAGUGCCGCGAAGCUACCAUCUGCUGGAUAAUAGCUGAACGCCUCUAAGUUAGAAUCCAUGCCAGAACGGGACGAUUUUCUCCAGCACGUCGUACGAGGAUACGAAUAGGCUUCGGCCCCGGACCUUAGCAGGCCAUAACUCCUCUCUCGUAGAAGUCGGGAGAGGUAAUUGGCGGAUAGCAAUUUGACAGCGCGCUGGGAUGAAUCCUUUGCAGACGACUUAGACGUGUAACCGGGUCGUGUAAGCAGUCGA